CAAAUCUGCCACGACAGCAGAACCAAAUUAAAGUAGAUUUGCAAGCAAAUAUUAAGGGUCCAAGCACCCCCCCACUCACACCACCGUGGAUCCAGGCGUGUCACAAGCAGGGACCACUGAGAAGCCUUGUAAGACUCUCGGGCAAGAUCUUCAUGAAUUUUAGAGCAUGUUAGAGCUCUGAAAUCCAUAAAAAAAAUAUGCUUUGCAGCACUAUCUACUAGUAUAGUUCCACCAACUUUGGCACUGUGGUUCUAACAGAGGCCAUCUAUACACAUGUCAAAUUUCAUGCCAGAUAGAUAAUGCCACUAAUGAGAAAACCCAUCAUAAACGAAAUAGCUGUGCACAUGGUCAAAGUCAAUGCCAAAAAACCCGCAGACAGAGGAACAUUUGAACAGAGAACAUUUUGACACCAAUCAGGCUUUUCUGUCAAAAAUCCAGAAACUAGUUCACGUCUGCCUAUUUUACAUAUUUCGGAUUUUUGCAAAAAAAUAUCAAGGAACAAAUGGGUGUGGCCUAUGCAAAUGAAAAGAAAUCAUUCCACUGAUCGCAACAAUAUAAAGUUUUUCUAUUUGUGACUGAAAUUUCACAAGUUCCUAGAGGUUUUUGUCAAACUGUACUCAUUAUUUAUAGUGCCACCUAGAGGUUUUUACUCUACAUUUUCUGGAUAUGGCUAGGCUGUUCUGUGCUCUACAAAAAUUCCAAAUUUCAUGCCAUUUGGUAAUCCCAUUAUUCAGAUUCAAGGUUUCUGGUCCAGUUUUUCAGAGUCACACUCCAGAGAAUGUUUUGACCCAAAUCUGGCUUUUCUGUGUCAAAAAUCCAGAGAUGUGUUCACGUCAGCCUAUUUUGCAUAUCACAAAUUGCAACAAAUCUAAUUUGGCACAAAGUGGCAUGACCUAUACCAUUGGAAAUCUGAAAAUCCACCGACUGCAACAGUACAAAAGCUUUAUACUCUAAUUUGGGUCUGACAGAUCAGAAUUUAUUACGUAGCAUUUUUCUUAUUCAAAGCAGUUUUAUUAUUUCUAGCAUGUUUUUUCUGGCCAUUUUUUAUAUACAGAUCGUUUGUACUGUGCUGUACACACCCUAAACAGUAUUCUGGUUGAAGCUGGAAAAUUUGGCAGGAUUUGAUCCAUCCAUUAAUGAGAGCAUAUUUUCUG